rnacentral:rRNA from 1 species
UACGUAGGGUGCGAGCGUUAAUCGGAAUUACUGGGCGUAAAGCGUGCGUAGGCGGUUCGUUAAGUCAGCUGUGAAAGCCCCGGGCUCGACCUGGGAACUGCGGUUGAAACUGGCGAACUAGAAUCUGGCAGAGGGGGGUGGAAUUCCACGUGUAGCAGUGAAAUGCGUAGAGAUGUGGAGGAACACCGAUGGCGAAGGCAGCCCCCUGGGCUGAGAUUGACGCUCAGGCACGAAAGCGUGGGGAGCAAACAGG